GGUUAUCGGAGGAUGAGACCUGAAUUCAUAACC
rfam:Flavobacterium rivuli WB 3.3-2 = DSM 21788 strain WB 3.3-2 contig19, whole genome shotgun sequence.